rnacentral:tRNA from 1 species
GCCUUCGUGGUGUAGUGGUUAGCACGCUGGGCGCUUAUCGAGAGGUCCGUAGUUCGAAUCCGGCGAGGGCA